AUUAAAGUGGCAGAAUUAUUAUAAUGCGAGGAAUUUAAGCUUCCUUUAUGAAUGUUUUCCUUUAAUA
rnacentral:tRNA from 1 species